rnacentral:rRNA from 1 species
UACGUAGGUGGCAAGCGUUGUCCGGAUUUACUGGGCGUAAGGAGCGCGCAGGCGGUCGUUCAAGUCGCGUGUGAAAGCCCCCGGCUCAACUGGGGAGGGUCACGCGAUACUGAUCGACUCGAAGGCAGGAGAGGGUAGUGGAAUUCCCGGUGUAGUGGUGAAAUGCGUAGAUAUCGGGAGGAACACCAGUGGCGAAGGCGACUACCUGGCCUGUUUCUUGACGCUGAGGCGCGAAAGCUAGGGGAGCAAACGGG